rnacentral:rRNA from 1 species
GAUGAACGCUGACAGAAUGCUUAACACACGCAAGUCAACUUGAACUUCGGUUUGGGUGGCGGACGGGUGAGUAACGCGUAAAGAACUUGCCUCACAGUUAGGGACAACAUUUGGAAACGAAUGCUAAUACCUGAUAUUAUGAUUUUAGGGCAUCCUAGAAUUAUGAAAGCUAUAUGCGCUGUGAGAGAGCUUUGCGUCCCAUUAGCUAGUUGGAGAGGUAACGGCUCACCAAGGCGAUGAUGGGUAGCCGGCCUGAGAGGGUGAACGGCCACAAGGGGACUGAGACACGGCCCUUACGCCUACGGGAGGCAGCAGUGGGGAAUAUUGGACAAUGGACCAAGAGUCUGAUCCAGCAAUUCUGUGUGCACGAUGAAGUUUUUCGGAAUGUAAAGUGCUUUCAGUUGGGAAGAAAAAAAUGACGAUACCAACAGAAGAAGUGACGGCUAAAUACGUG